CUCCAUGCACCGGGAGCCCGACGUGGGACUCGAUCCCGGGUCUCCAGGAUUGUGCCCUGGGCCGAAGGCAGGCGCCAAACCGCUACGCCACCCAGGGAUCCCCCAUUGCUAAUUUUAAAUGCACUUACAGUAUGGUGUCUAUUAUACUAGAAUUAUUUUUAUCUGAUUUUUGCUAUUUAUUAUCCGUUCCUGCUUUUCAGGUUGAGGAGGCAUUAUACGUGUUCAUAAGUGUUUUUCUUUCCUUCUGAUCUAAAAUUCUUACUUUGUUUCCAUCAAAGGAACUCUUUAAGAACAAGGCAACAGUUAAUUAAACUAUUCUUAAAAUGUCUUCACACUUGGAGCCUGAUUCAUUUAAGUCAAUUUUCAAAAUAAAUCUUAUUUAUUAGGAAAAAAACAAAGAUUUAUAGGGAAAUUGAGAAGAUAGUAUAGUGCAUUCACAUGCACUUGCACUCAAUUUCUCCAAUUAUUGAUAUCUUAUAUUAGUACGGUACAAAUAUGAGCUAAUGAAUCAAUAUUAAAAUAGUCACAUUAACCAAAGACGAUACUUUAUUCAGAUUUCCUUAGUUUUUGCUAAGUUACCAUCCCUCAUAUUACAUUCCAUUUGUCCUCAUUUUUUCUUAGGCUCCUCUGGAUUGUGACAGUCUUUCAGCCUUUCCUUGUUGUUGUUGAACUGGAACACUUUGAGAAGGAGAGUAUUUUGAAAAAUUUCCCUCAGUUGGGACAUGUCUGUCGUUUAUCUCAUGAUUGAACUGUUUUUGUGGAUUAUAUACAGAGAUAUGCUGCCAUUUUUAUUAUAUCAUAUAAAGGAUAGAUACUAUCACAUGAUUUAUCAGUCUUGGUAUCGAUCUGAUCAUCUUGCUAAGUGUAUUAUCAUUAUUAUUUUAGGUUUUUCAUAAUAUAUUUGUAGAAGGAAGUUACUACGUGUAUUGCACACAUAAGAGUGGGAAGCUAUGCUCAUGAACUUGACGGUGGAAUGUCUGCACAAAUUCUUUGAAAUUCUUCUACAUGGGAGAUUUCUCUUCCCUCCAGACUGUUGUGCCCAAGAUUGCGAAUCUGAGAAACCACCGAGAAGCUGACAUGAUGCAAAC